CAAAAUUUGACACGGAGAAGUGAGACAUCAGAUGACUCACUUGGGUCCUCUGUGGGAGAGGACCCGGACCACAGUUGGCUAGCCAAGACUGCAGCACUUUCCAGUAGUUUCGUAGAGCUAUGCUAGACCUUCAGUCCUGAGAUUCUAAGUGUGACACUAGAAAUCUCGUCUUAUACUUGGUAAUUUUCUUCAUGUGUAAAGAUGGCAGAGAAGUUCUAGUUUAUCUUCAAGUGCUGUUUGCCCACGGCCUCACCUGGAGCACAGGAUUAUAAGGGGACUGUACCCAGAGUAUUAAAUGUGCCAUUCCCUAAGCAGCUGGUAUAGCUCUGGUAAGUCACAGAGAAAGUUGGUAUUUUGUGGGCAUGUAUUCAAAACAGCUAUGCAUGUAAUUUUCUUAAGUACAGGAAUUUGGAAGUCUCCCUCAAGAACUGCUGAUUUGUUUUGUGAGUCACAUGUCCAAACUAAUAUUCAUCCUGGAGUGGAGGUGGGAAUCAGCAAGUAAAAGGAGGAAAUAACAACAUUAACGCCUAUUUUGGCUACCUUAUCGAUGUGGAAUAAUGGAGCUCAACAGAUGGCAAGUAUACACUCGGUCUUUCUCCCCAUCCCUCUUAAGUCUCCUCCCCCAUAUUAACAUGAGGGCAGCCCACAUUGAUGGGUUUUGUCAAAUGGAACAUGGGCCGGGUGGCCCCACCCCUGGCGACUGCCAUCAUACCAGCAGGACGGUAAAUACCAACUGCUGGCAUCUAUUAAAAGCAAAAGUGACUAAGCUUUUGGAAAUUGGUUAAGUAAUGUGCAAACUGUUCCACGAAGGAGGAGGGCUGGGUAUGAAUGUGAGCCGCUGGGUUUAGCAUCCCAAGAGCCAUGUGGAGGACUACUUUUCCAAGGUAGUUACUAAACCCCAUGGUUUAUAGGGUGUGGAAGCUGUGCAAAACUCCCAACUGAUGCUUCGCUUCCCCUACCAAUAUCCUGUGGUUUUGCUAUUUUCUAAGCCCUCGGGUUGCCCGUAUCUGAAAGCCCUCCCUGCACCUGCAUUUUCUCUGGCAGGCUUCCACUUCGCAGGCUUUCCUCCCACUGUUCGCUCCACGCAGACUCUUUUCCCAGGGAGCCACGUGACUCACUGACAACCUUUCAGUCUACUCAGAGGCCAUCUUGUCAAGACCAAGAGAGGCCUUCUGACCAUGCCACUUAAGCCCACGGCCCCACCACCCAGUCCCCUUUGCUUUGGUUUUCCUCCAUGGCACUUCUCACCAUCUAACAUACUAUGUAUUUUACUUGCUUGCUGGCUUAUCUGUCUCUACCCCAACCUCAUGCAGGCUCCAGAAGGGCUUGGCUUUAAGGCUCAGUGCCAUCUCCUCAAUGUUCAGGACAGUGCCCGGCAUUUAGCACAUAGGUGCUCAGUGUGUGUGUGUCACAGGAUUGAAAGAAUGAUGGGAGAUAGCUACGCACACUGCCGGGUUUCACCUGGAUAUGCUUCUUUUAAGAAAAUGUUUCACGUCCCAACCUGCGGAAUUUAGCGACUGUAGCGAAAAACAUCACUCCCUUGCCCCGCUUCAUUCCUGCUAGGCUAUUUUUACUGUCCCAAGACACAAUCUGCAUAUUUUCUGUCUUUUUUUUUUUUCUUCUUUCUAAAUAACUUGCUUCAACGAUUACUUCUUGAUUUUUCAGUUUCAGAGUUUAGGUAUUACCUUCGGACUUUAUGGAGGGUGACAAGCUUGGAGAGGGUAUGGAAGCCGUAUACCCCUCCCCCCCAUACCUUGCCCUGUGCGUCUCUUCCGUCUGGCUCUUCCUGAGUCCUCUCCUUUUAUGGCAGACCGGUAAUCUAGUAAGCAAGGUGUUUUCCUGAGGUCUACGAGCCGCUGUAGCAAAUUAAUCCAACCUGAAGGGGCAGGGGAAUCCCCAAUUUCUAGCAGCACAGGUGACCUGGACUUGCCAUUGGCAUCUGAAGUGGAGGGAGGAGGGGACAGUCCUGUAGGACGGAUUCCUUACCGUGGGAUCUGACGCUGUCCCCAGGUAGACUGUGUCAGAGCACGUCACCCUCCCAGCAAAUAGAUCUGUUCCUAACCCAGAAGCUCUCAGAACCCUGUCCUUUUGAGUUUUUAUGAAGGCUUUAGUACCUAGGCACAACUGAUUAAAUCACUGGCCAUUGGUGAUUGGACUCAAUCUCCCGCCCCUCCCCCAGCCCAGGAAGAGAUGGGGUAAAACUGAAAUUUUCAACCCUUCAAUCACACACACUGUUGGGUCCACUGGCACUCUGCCUCCAUCUUUAGGUGCCUUCCAGGAAUGACCUCAAAACAAGAGACCCCUUUUAUUGCCUUCAUCACAGGAAAUCCCAAAGGUUUUAGGACCUUUGCCAGAAACGGGGACAAAGAUCAAAUAUUUGUCUUAUUAUAAAUCACAACAUUGCAAAAUGUAAUUUUUUUUUUUUUUUUUAACUUGGAAGUGCUCCAGGAACCUAGUGGACCCAGUGUCUAAUUUCCUGGAGAGCUCCCUCACGGAGGCUUUGCCACCUUGCUGCCCUGUGGUCACAUGGCCGGUCAGGGAGUGCCUCAGUCUCAGACUACAGUUUGCCUAAAUCCCAAGUUUCCUUUCUAUCUUGGUGAAGCAGCUCUCUAAUAGCUUAUUGAGAGGUUAGGCAUUUUUUUGUGUGAUUUUGCUUGCAUAAAAUACCCUUAUUCUCUACAUGAUCGAUAAUUUGGCUAAGUAUGGACUUCUAGAUUAGGCAGUGAAUUUCUGUGUAAGUGGUGAGGCCUAGAAGGAGGGAGUAUGAAAAAUGUGGUGCAUUGUUAAGCAGGAAGCCCAAGUGUGUCCCCACACGACAUGGGAGCUAUUACACGUGACUUUUACCUGCAGUAUCUUGUUAAGGUUAGAUUUUUUUAGACUUUUCUUUUUUUUAAUGUUUAUUUUUGAGAGAGAAACAGUGCCAGUGGGCUAGGGGCAGAAAGAGAGGGAGACACAGAAUCCGAAGCAGGCUCCAGGCUCUGAGCUGUCAGCACAGAGCCCGACGCGGGGCUCGAACUCANNNNNNNNNNNNNNNNNNNNNGCCCGACGUGGGGCUCUAACUCAAACCGCGAGAUCCUGAUCUGAGCUGAAGUCGGAUGUUUAACCGACUAAGCCACCCAGGUGCCCCUUACUUAGAUUUCUUUACAUUUCCCUUAUGUAUAAAUAACUUAUUUUAAAAAUGUGAAAGUAGCUAUAAGCUUCCAGGUUAUAGGAGGUUAGCAAAAGAAGAGGAAAGCUUCNNNNNNNNNNNNNNNNNNNNNNNNNNNNNNNNNNNNNNNNNNNNNNNNNNNNNNNNNNNNNNNNNNNNNNNNNNNNNNNNNNNNNNNNNNNNNNNNNNNNNNNNGAUGGGAGGGUUCGUGGGGUCCAGAGUCGACGGCCAAGAAAGAGGUCUUGAUAUCUUUGGUGCAAAAAGGUGAUUUUUUACUAAAGCAAGGGGCCAGGAUCCACAGGCAAAGAGCUGCACUCUUAAGCGUGGAGGGUGACCAUUUUAUGCAGUCAAUGGGGGGGGCGGAGAUAAAGUCUAGAGGGAGUUUCCACAGAGACUUUCACAUGCUAAAGACUUAGUGGAGGCCUAGCUAUUGUCAAGCUCAGGUUGUUCCCCCCCCCCCCCCCCCCCCCCCCCACCCANCCCCCAACAAAGCAUUAACUUCCAGACAGUAGGGAGUUCCUGGACUUGAGGCUAUGAUGGGAUUGCCUUUUUCUGGUAAACUGGUGGAGACUGUCAUCAGUUUAACCAUUUUUGUUGUUGUUGUUGUUGUUGUUGUUGUUGUUGUUGUUGUUUUGUCCUUUCCUGUUUUGGGGUAGCUGGGAGUGUCCAAGGAAUAUCAUACACAUCCCACCUGGGGGACGGGGGUGCUGUUAGCCUGCAUCUUGGCCCAUGUUCCCUCAUCACUAGGAGUCUGAAACCAAUAGUGCUGUCAUUAAAUUGCCACUUUAUUAUUUUUUCUUAAUGUUUGUUUAUUUUGAGAGAGAGAGAGAGAGAGAGAGAGAGAGCAUGCGAGCAGGGGAGAAGCAGAGAGAGAGAAUCCCGUUGCCCUGUCAGUGCAGGGCCUGAUGCAGGGCUCGAACUCCUAAACCAUGAGAUCAUUACCUGAGCCAAAAUCAAGAGUCAGGCGCUUAACUGACUGAGCCACCCAGGUGCCCCUAAAUUGCCACUUUAAAUCCUGCUUACUGUGGCUGGUCACACUCCUUCCUUAUUUCCAUGCCUUGGGCAAACCACAAGUUUCUUAACAGCCAACUUUUUUUUUUUUUUUUAAUUUUUUUUUUUAACAUUUAUUUUUGAGACAUAAAGAGACAGAGCAUGAAUGGGGGGAGGGUCAGAGAGAGAGGGGGAGACACAGAAUCUGAAACAGGCUCCAGGUUCUGAGCUGUCAGCACAGAGCACAACGCGGGGCUCGAACUCACGAACCGCGAGAUCAUGACCUGAGCCGAAGUUGGACGCUUAACCGACUGAGCCACCCAGGCGCCCCCCAACUUUUAAUUAGUAUACACAUAUGCUCUCUCUUUCCCAAAAAUCUAACCUCAACUACCGAAGAAGGAUCUUGCCUUGCAUUGUCCUGACUCUAGUGCGGCUCUGCCCAAACUAUCUGUGGUAAAAGGAUGAUUUUCUUUACAUUUCAAUCCGUUGUGGACUGGUAACUUUUGGAAAACACAAUAAAUACGAGUUACUGGAAAAGUGAACCAGGAAAUCUAAAGGAAAAACACUUCUGUGUGGGGCUUUAGAUACUCUUCACUUCUGGGGCGCUGGGUGGCUCGGUCGGUUAAGCGUCCGACUNNNNNNNNNNNNNNNNNNNNNCGCGCUCCGUGAGUUCGAGCCCCGUGUCGGGCUCUGUGCUGACCGCUUAGAGCCUGGAGCCUGCUUCAGGUUCUGUGUCUCCCUCUCUCUCUGCACCUCCCCUGUUCACGCUCUGUCUCUCUCUGUCUCAAAAAUAAAUAAACGUUAAAAAAAUUAAAAAAAAAUAGAUACUCUUCACUUCUGACACGCACUUUUGGUCACCAAAUGUGUGCAGGUUUUCCCAGUCACCAAGCCACUCCAUGACACCAGCUGGGUGUCCCACAAUCUAAUACAAAUCUGACUCGGUCUACCUGGAGAGAGCAUCAGAUCCCACGUUAAGGAAUCGGUCCUACACGAUUGCCCCCACCCCCCCCCCCCCCCCCCCCNUCAGAUGCCAAUCCUAAAUCCAGGUCACCUUUGCUCCUAGAAAUUGGGAGAUUCCCACGCCUCCUCAGGUUGGAUUAAUUUGCUAGAGUGGUUCACAGACCUCAAGACAUUUUACUUACUAGACUGCCAGUUUACCAUAAAAGGAUAGGACUCAGGGGGACAGCCAGAUGGAAGAGACGCACAGGCAAGGCAUGGGGGAAGGGGUGCAGGGCUUCCGCACCCUCUCCAAGCUUGUCACCCUCCCAGCGUGUAGAUAUGUUCCCAACCCAGAAGCUCUCAGAACCGGGAGGCUUCGUUACAUAAGCAUCAUUGACUAAAUCAUUGGCCGUUGGUAACUGAAGUCAGUCUCCAACCCUCCCCUCUCCCCUCCCAGGAGGUAUGGGGCUGAAAGUUCCAACCCUUUCAUCACUCAGCGGGUUCCCCUGGCAACCAGCCCAGGUACACAGUAGGACUUUCCAAAAGUCACUCCGUUAACAUGAAUCAGAUGUCACUGAAAGGGACUCGUUAGAUACAAAAAAAACACACACUUCACUUCUAUCUUUGGGAGCUAUUUCGAGAUCCCGGGAACAAAAGAGGCCCUUAUAGCUCUUAUCGCUUAGGGCUUAGGAAAUUACAAAGGCUUAAAGUGCUAAGUGCUGGGAACCCAGGAGAAGACAGAAAUAUCUGUUGCUUAUUAUGAACCACAAUAUCAUGGAAAGAAAAUACAAAAGUAUAGAUACUACAGCUCUAAACUCUUGUUUAUUAGAUAUUGAGGUUAUAUUUUUAAUUUUUUUUUCAUUUAUUUAUUUUUGAGAGAGAGAGCACAAGUGGGGAAGGUCAGAGAGAGAAGGAGACCAAAUCCGAAGCAGGCUCCAGGCUCUGAGCUGUCAGCACAAAGCCUGACGCGAGGCUCGAACUCACAAACUGAGAUCAUGACCCGAGCCGAAGUCGGACGCCUAACCAACUGAGCCACCCAGGCUCCCCUUUAGGUUAUAUUUUCAUACCCAACAAACAAAAUUAUUCUGUUAAAUUGCCUUAAAAAGUCCUGUUAAAUGAACUAAACAAAGAGGCCAGUAGACUGAGGUGGCCCUAAUACCUUAGCAGCCUGUGAGAGCAGACCAAAGUGCCUAAGGCUAAGAAACCAAAAGCUACGGACAACCAAUCAGAAGCAACCCCUAGGCUUUCCCAAAGCCUGCAACCCCGGAAGCUGCAGCCAAUCAAAUAAUUUCCCUGCUUUGUUUCCGCCUUUCCAUAGGCAAGUCUUUCCCUGAGCUCUUGUUGCUGGAAUCCCCCCAAACAUUUCUGGUCUGGCGGUGCCCGAGUCAAAUCAUUUCUUGCUCAUAAACUCUGAUUUUUUUUUUUUUUUUUUAGUAUGCCUCUGUUUAUCUUUCAUCUCAACCUCUGCUUCAGGCUGUGGACCACAUGUUGAGUAACUGUGCUGGCCUGAAUAGUGCCCGGUGUGGAGUCCUGACCAUUGCCAUCCAAGCACACCAACCCUUGUUUUCACACACUACACACGUCAGCCUGUCUUUCAAAAACCUCCACAAUGUGUCCCGCGCGUACUUUUAAAACACCACACUUUGUUGCUGUAUCAUGUAUACACAAGCCACGGUAUCCAUUUCAAGUGUACGUAUGAUUUGAUGAAUUUUGAUGGAUGUGUCUACCCUCGAAACCACCACUGAUGAGGGAGCAUAAGGCAAGCUGAGGACAAAGUACAAGCGCGCACACUCUGCCCCCCACCCCCCCACCCAACCAGGUGGGAAUGUGAUAUUCCGCAGGCACUCCCGGCUGCGCCAGAACAAAGGACAGAAAACAAAUGGUUAAACUCAUAUCAUCUCCAUCAGUUUACAAAUAUCUUAGUAAUAUUUCAAGAAAAGGGCAAUCUUAUAAAUAGCCUAAAGUCCAGGAACUCCCUACUGUCUUAAUGUUAAUGUUUUGCUAGAGGGAAAAACAAGCUUAGCUUGCUAAUAGCUGGGCCUCCAGUAACCUAUAUAUAUAACCAGCCACUUUUCACAACCCCAGUGCAGCUCUUUCUGCCCACGGGUCCUGUCCCUGUGCUGUGAUAAAAUCACCUUUUUGCCCCAAAGACGUCUCCAAGAAUUCAUUCUUGGUCAUCAGCUCCGCACUCCCUCACUACCCCAAAACCUCAUCACCACCACAAUCCUGCUACAAAGUAUCUCUGUUACCCCAAAGAUAUGCCUCGCGCCCCUUUGUAGUCCAUUUGGCCACAGUUCAAGGGCCAAAGUCACACUGCUUCUGUAAGUAGAGGUUAGUUUUGCCUAAGGAAUGAAGUUUCCUUUCAUUCAUUUUAAUGACUCUGAGAUUCAUCCAUGCUGUGGAUGUAUCAGCAAUUUUUUCCUUUAUAGUGGCGUUCCAGUUGGAGCCUGCUGAUGUUUCUAGUUUUUGGUUACUGUGAAUAAGGCCACUACGAGCAUCCAUGUGUUGGCCUGCGAGUGGGCCUAUGUUUCACUUCUCUUGGGUGAAUACCUAGGAGUGGAAUGGCCAGGCUGUACGUACGAUAGGUGAAUGUUGAACUCCACACCUCUUUUUCUCACAAUUUCUAUUUCCUACCUUCCCUCCUACCCACCCUUGAGCCAUACUGAACUACUUUCUUUUUCUCAGACGGGUCAAGAUCUCCUUUCUCGUCACCAUUCUUCAGGUUACUCCUUUGGCCUACAACAUCCCUUUCCAUAUCAUUCCAUCUACCUUAGUUGGGUUCAAGCACCAACUCCACAAAGUUCUCUUUCUUCCUCUCAGUUAGAGGUGACUGCUCCCCUCUGGGAAAGCCCGCAGAACUAUACCUUUCUCAGAGCUUGCCUCCUGCACUAGAUUCUAAGUAUCCCUGAUAGUGGGGUCCAGUCUGGAAGCUUCCCACCCCCCACAGGGCCAGGUUCAGUUCUUUACAUAGGGUAGGCAUUCGGUAAACCUCUGCUGAAUUAAGGAACAUAAUUAGUGAAGCAUGGAAAGGGCCAGUAUAUAUGGUAUUUGAGAAAAGGGAAUAAGUAAAUUACUUGGAGAGAAGAAAGCUAAUGGAGGUUACAAUAGCUCCUUUGUGACAUUAUUUGAGGUAUAUAUGUGUGUGUGUAUAUAUAUAUACGUGUGUGUGUAUAUAUAUAUAUGUGUAUAUAUAUGUUUAUAUGUAUAUAUAUGUAUAUGGAUAUAUAUGUAUAUGUAUGUGUGUGUGUAUAUAUAUAUGUGUGUGUGUAUAUACGUGUAUAUAUUUUUUUAAACAUUUAUUCAUUUUUUGAGAGACAGAGACAAUGCGAGGGAGUGGCAGAGAGAGAGGGAGACACAGAACCUGAAGCAGGCUCCAGGCUCUGAGCUGUCAGCCCAGAGCCCAACUCGGAACCCACAGACUGUGAGAUCAUGACCCAAGCUUAAGAUGGAAACUUAACUGACUGAGCCACCCAGGCACCCCACGACAACCUCAUUUGAAAAAAGACUAAAUAAAUACUUAUCUACCUUACGUGAUGUGAGGAUUUAUUCAAAGGGUGACGGAAUAUUCCGGUUCUCCCUCCCCCAAUUGACCUGCUUGCAUAUCUGAAAUUGCAUCAUUAAAGAUCCAUUCCUAUCUAGGAUCGAGUAGCAACAAUUGGUAAUAUCACAAAAAAAGAGACAAGCAGGCAUAAAGUGCCUCCUGAUGAAAGAACACAAUACCACCUAUGAAACGGUCUUGUGAAAAAGAGCAAAUCUGAAUCUGGUUGACGUGCAACUUGACCAAAGUACUGCAUCUUCAGGAACAGAAUGUAUUAAACUCCAUUACAGAGAUGCCAUCACCAAAAUCCUGAGGGGGUGGGGGGGGGCGGGAAGGGUGGAUUCUAAAGAACAAAUAACUGGGUUUUUUCUUUUAAACAAAUAAAGUAAGGGGCGCCUGGGUGGCUCAGUCGGUUAAGCGUCCAACUUCAGCUCAGGUCAUGAUCGCACAGUCCGUGAGUUCGAGCCCCGUGUCAUGCUCUGUGCUGACAACUCAGAGCCUGGAGCCUGCUUCGGAUUCUGUAUCUCCCUCUCUCUCUGCCCCUCCCCUGUUCAUGCUCUGUCUCUCUCUGUCUCAAAAAUACAUAAAAACAUUAAAAAUUUAAAUAAAUUGAAAGAAAAAAGAAAGAGGCAAGCUAUAGAUUAAGAAACUAAAAAGAUAGAGUAGGCAAUUGUAAUUUAUGGACCUUAUUUGGAUCCUGAUUGAAAAAUAAAUUGUAAAAAACAAAAAGAAUUAUGACAUUGAUGAUAUUAUGCCUUUUUUUUUUAAGAGUCUUAAUCUUUUAGAGAACAUUAUAGAGAAAGGGAGAAGUGGACAGUGAUAGAGAUGAUUGGCAAUGAGUUGAUAAUUAAGCAGCUGGAUGAUGGGUACAUGAAGGUUUGAUAUAUUAUUGAAAUUUCCAUAAUCAAGAAUUAAAAACAUAAAAAUGCUCCCUUUGGGUCAACUUUUGGGGGGCUCAAAAGGCUUUUUUUAAAAAGGUAAGUCGUUCCCAGUAGGUUAACACGUUAACAAAUGAUAAAUUAUUCACAUCUUAGCCCUUGACGUUUCUAAUAGCUGACGUGAAAUGUUCACCCUCCUCAGCCCUGCCUUUUACCACCUCAGCCCCCCCCUUCUCUAGCUCCCCCCUCAUUGACGCCCAGCCAGUCCCCCCACACCCUCCACCUUCUUGCACCUAUCUCCUGUUCGUGCCAUUCUGUCUGCCGGAAUGCUCCCUCUUCCAUCCCCUACUGGCUGACCCCGCCAAUCUUGAAAGAUUCAGACCAGUGUCGCUUUCUCCCAGCGCCCCGUCAUUCUCCUCCAUCAGAACAUAUCACCGCACCCUUGAUGCGCACCUAGGAGCUUUGAUCAAACUGCUGUCUCCAGACACUCAGCACGUCGUGUUACAUUGUAAUGGAGAAUUCCACCUUCUUCUCCAGUUUAAAUCACAAUAGAUAUUUUGGGUGGAUUAGCUCUUUUGGUUAAUCUAUCUAAUCUCAGCAGGGUGAGACCACCUUCGUUGAGAGGCAAGGUUAAGGCCUGUCCUUUAGCCGGAGUUAAGCAGGCAGUACUCAGGUUGAAUGGUGUGGAUCCCUGCAAACUCAAACAGCUACAGGUGCUGACAGGUUGUGUGUCUGAGGGAGGCAGGCUGAGGAGAGACUAGCAAAACGGAGAGCCCGUGCCCUUGCUGAAAGGUGUUUAACCACCUAGCUCAGUGGGCUGUGGGCCCCGGGGCACGAGGGCCCAAUAUUGUCAGGCCUUCUGAUUUUUCUUUUUUUUUUUUUUAACGUUUAUUUAUUUUUGAGACAAAAAGAGACAGAGCAUGAACGGGGGAGGGUCAGAGAGAGAGGGAGACACAGAAUCUGAAACAGGCUCCAGGCUCUCAGCAGUCAGCACAGAGCCCGACGCGGGGCUCGAACUCACGGGCCGCGAGAUCAUGACCUGAGCCGAAGUCGGCCGCUUAACCGACUGAGCCACCCAGGCGCCCCAGGCCUUUGGAUUUUUCAAGAAAAUCUAGGCAUCUCCUCUUGCAUAGGCUCCUUCCAGGGCCCAAAUGUUGUAUAAAACUUGCAAAAAUAAGAUACUGUGUCUGUAAUCAGUUAAGGCUGCUGUCUCCUUCUACUUGGCUUUCCUUUAUGUCAUUCUCCCUCUAAAAGUGGGUGGCACUGGAGUGGAUGUAGACAUUUCUGGAAUCCAAGUGUAGUAGAGGGAAGUUGACUUGGGGGUGUGUUUAGUGGGAUGUAUUUAAUCAUGGUUGGCGGCCAUUUACAUGUAUAAUUCAGUUACUACCAUGCUGGCCUAGGAAUAACUUCCAGAAAUUCUACCACCCACUGGACAAUUCACCUAGAACUGUGAUGUGUUACUUAAAGAUGAAAAGACAGAGGUGAGAGGUGGUAUGAUAUAUACUUUUUUUUUUUUAAGUUUAAUCAUUUAUUUUAAGAGAGAAAAAGUACCAGUGUGGGGAGGGACGGAGAGAAAGGGAGACAUAGAAUCCGAAGCAGGCUCUAGGUGGAACCCAACACGGGGCUCGAACUCACGAGCCGCCAUGAGGUCAUGAACAGAGCCGAAGAGUUGGACACUCAACCGACUGAGCCACCCAGGUGCCCCAAGAGGUGGUACGAUAUAAACCCUGAGUGACCAACAUUGGAAACAUGUAGGUGGGGAAAAAGUAACAUGGCAUACAAUGAAUGGAGCCAGAAACAAGUCUAUGGAAAAGUCAUACACUUCUUAGAUGAAUAAAACUCUCUAUAAAAUUAUGUUAUAUUUUAUACAAAUAGAGGCAUAAGAGUCCAGCACUGUUAGAUCUUUUGAUUUUUUUCAAGAGUAAUCAGAGGCCCAUAUGUUUUGGAGAUAUCUGCGGAAUGAAAUGGUGGCCAAUAAAAAAAUAUAUUUUUUGCAAUAUAUAUGGAAAAUAUUGAAAUUGAGAGGCAACUCAUUAAAAUAUUGUUACUUUUUAAGUAUCAGCUUCUUAAAAUUAGAAAUUUGAAAUUUUUUUUUUCAUUCUAACCCAUGGGUUUUUAGCCUUUUUCCCUAUGGCCCUCUGUGGCAGUCUGAAGCAGCCUAUUAACCUCUUCUCAAAAUAAUGUUUUGUUGUUGUUGUUUUAAUUUUUUUUUUUUAAUUUUUAUUUUUAAGUAGGCUCCAUGCCCAACCUGGGGCUCGAACUCAUUACCCUGAGAUCAAGAGUUGCAUGCCCUACGAACUGAGCCAGCCAGGCACCACAGAGUAAUGUUUUUAAAUGUAUAAAAUAAAGUAUAUAUGAUUACAAAGGACACCACUGAAAUAGUUUUCACAAUAUUAAAUGAACCCAUUUAUAAUAUCGUCAUAUUUGCUUCUGCAUGCAUUAAAUACGAAGAUUCACUGGCAGACCUAAUAACUACUGAAAUAUUAAAGUCAUGAUGGACGGGGCACCUGGGUGGCUCGGUCCGUUAAGCAUCUGACUCUUGAUUUCGGCUCAGAUCAUGAUCAUGGUUCAUGGGAUCCAGCCCCACAUCGGUCUCUGCACUGACAGCCUGCUUGGGAUUCUCUCUCUCCCUCUCUCUCUCUCUCUCUGCCCCUCCCCCCUCCUCUAUCAAAAUAAAUAAGUAAACUUAAAAAAAUAAUGAUGAGCAUUAAAGGAUAUUCUGAACUAUCUGUACAACUGCAUUGUCAUAUGUGACAAAAUCAAAGUAUUAUUAUUAGUAUAAAGUAUGGUUAUUAGUAUUUGAUAAAGUCAAAGUACUGUAUUAGUGACAAGGUCAAAGGUAAUGUUCUUACUACUGUAGUGUGUUGCUUGCAUUUAUAAUUGAAAAAUAUACUAAUUUUCAGUUACAGGUUAAAGAAAAUAAAGAUGUACUUUUUUCUACCCAAGUGCAUACCUCCAUAGGAGGGUGUGAAAAGGUGUCCAUGGACCCCAAGGUAAGAACGCCUUACAACAGCCACUCUCAUACCUAACUCUGGAGUCAUAAUUUUAUGUUUAUUUCCUUAAGUGGGGCCUCCUCAGUUAUAUCUCAGUUAUAGGGGCCCUCAGUUAUAGGGGGCCCUAUAACACCUGGAUCUUCAAAAUAAACCCGCGCAAUGACCACUUCUCAUCAUCUUCACAGGGAACACAGGGCCAAGCCACCGUCAUUUUUCAUCUGCCACUGUCCACAGGCUGGCUAACUGCUCUGCCCUGGACCCGGUC
rnacentral:lncRNA from 1 species